GAUGAAGAACGCAGCGAAAUGCGAUAAGUAAUGCGAAUUGCAGAAUCCGUGAGUCAUCGAAUCUUUGAACGCACAUUGCGCCCUUUGGUAUUCCUUAGGGCAUGCCUGUUCGAGCGUCAUUUAAACCUUCAAGCUAAGCUUGGUGUUGGGUGACUGUCCGCUUCACGGCGGACUCGCCUCAAAAUUAUUGGCGGCCGGUACAUUGGCUUCGAGCGCAGCAGAAACGCGAACUCGGGCCCGUCGUAUUGGCUCCCAGAAGCUAUCUUCACAAUUUUGACCUCGGAUCAGGUAGGGAUACCCGCUGAACUUAAGCAUAUCAAUAAGCGGAGGA
rnacentral:misc_RNA from 1 species